rnacentral:rRNA from 1 species
AGCAGCCGCGGUAAUUCCAGCUCCAAUAGCGUAUAUUAAAGUUGUUGCAGUUAAAAGCUCGUAGUUGAACUUCGGGAUCAAUGGAUUGGUCAUGCCGAUGGUGUGUACUGGUCAUGUUGGUUCUCACCUUCUAAGGAACCAUAAUGUCAUUUAUUUGAUGUUGUGGGGAAUUAGGACUGUUACCUUGAAAAAUUAGAGUGUUUAAAGCAGGCUAACGCUUGAAUACAUUAGCAUGGAAUAAUGAAAUAGGACAUCGCAUUCUAUUUUGUUGGUUUCUAGGAUCGAUGUAAUGAUUAAUAGGGAUAGUUGGGGGCAUUAGUAUUCAAUUGUCAGAGGUGAAAUUCUUGGAUUUAUUGAAGACUAACUACUGCGAAAGCAUUUGCCAAGGAUGUUUUCAUUAAUCAAGAACGAAAGUUAGGGGAUCGAAGACGAUCAGAUACCGUCGUAGUC